AACGAACGCUGGCGGCAGGCCUAACACAUGCAAGUCGAACGGGAUCUUCGGAUCUAGUGGCGGACGGGUGAGUAACGCGUGGGAACGUGCCCUUUGGUUAGGAAUAGCCCUGGGAAAGUGGGAGUAAUACCGGAUGUGGUCGAGAGACGAAUGAUUUAUCGGCAAAGGAUCGGCCCGCGGUGGAUUAGGUAGUUGGUGGGGUAAUCGCAUACCAAGCCGUCGUUCCAUAGCUGGUUUGAGAGGAUGAUAAGCCACACUGGGACUGAGACACGGCCCAGAACGCGACGGGAGGGAGCAGUGGGUAAUCUUAGACAAUGGGGGAUACCCUGGGCUAGCCAUGCGGGGUGUGCGAUGAAGGCCGUAGUGUUGUGAAGCUCUUUCGUAGGGGAAGAUAAUGACGGUACCCCAAGAAGAAGCACCGGCUAACUCCGUGCCAGCAGCCGCCGUAA
rnacentral:rRNA from 1 species